GAAAAGCGAAAAAGGAAGCAGAAAAGAAGGUCCUCUCUCCUCUCUUGAAGUUCAUUUUUAUGUGGAUAACAUUUACUUUCCUAAGGUCCAAUGACAGACGGUGAAUGGCUGACUUUUCCUCUCCAAGUGUAUGUGCAAGGGAGAAUUCAGCAAGUCCUCCAUCUAUAUCGAAACUGCAAGCUUAAACAUUUGAGCUUAAACAAGGCUGGAGAUUCAAGUUUCAGAUUCAUGGCCUUGUCAUCUCUAGAGGAAAAAAGAAGAUAAUAUUUUGGAACAAAAUACCAUAAAAUCACAGAAUAUUUAGGGUUGGAUAGGAUCUCUGAAGAUCAACUGAUCCAACCCCCCAGCCAAGGCAAGGUCACAGAAGCACUAAACUGCUUAUUGCCAUGAUGUUUUGAUGCUGGAAAAGAGAAAAAGCAACUUUUUUUUUUUUUAACGAAGAAUGAAUCAGGAUUUUACAACUACAACAAAAUGCAGAAAAAGGAGAGAUGUACAUUGACUUCAGCAGGCUUUGGAUCUUCAGAUUUUAUCAGGAGAGUUCAUCAGGUGCAUAGAUGUAUUGACACUGUCAAGUACUAGCACUCACUAUACAAGAUUGGUGAAUGCUUCUUCUCAUAAAAUCAUUUGUCUUUGAGAUUUUAUGUUUUGGGGCUUGUGAGAUUGCUUGAACAGCAGAAUGUCAUAUUCCAGCAAAUGAGGAAAUGUUCCUCUGGGUGAGGGUGAAUCAACUCAUGUGUCUGUUAGUCACUGAGGAGCUGUCUGGGUGCAGUACAGUAAUAAAUGUAAAGCAGGUAAUCCUUCCUUCAUUUGUUUUGUAAAGAUGUCAGAAAUAUUUAUAUUUUAAAGAGAACCAAAGCCAAGAAGCAGAUGCUAACAUCCCAUAGGUAUGCGGCCCAGUUUCUUAAGAUUUGUUUCAUCUUCUUCUAAAAUGAAAGUGGUUUUGUUUGCUCCAACCAUGACAUGCAGCCUUGCAUACCUUUUAGUAAUGCUGUUAGAUUCAGUCUCUCAUACUCAGUGUCCUUCACAAAAUAGAAUUAUUAUAUGAUUUUAAUUUGAUUUGUUUUAUAUGUACUGGAAAUAAGUAGACACCUAGUGGAAGGUGUCCCUCACCAUGACAUAUGGUUUGGAACAAAAUUAUCUUUAAGAUCCCUUCCAAUGCAACCUAUUCGAUGAAAUCCAACCUUGUUUCCUUGCACAUUUGUAACAUAUAUACAUAACUCAUUUACCCCUUUGCUUCUUCAGCCUGGGUGAACCAGAUACAAGCCUAAUACAUAUGUUAUUUCUAAUUCUUCAGAGCCAUAACUCUGCCAAUCCUGUAGACAUUGUGUUAUUUUUGUUUGCCGUCGAAGUACAAGUAAUAUUUCUAGACUAGCUCUACUAGGAAGUGGUAAUAAAAAAAAACCCAAACCAACAACCGAAAGACUUCUUUCUUCUCUGUGAUGCUAUUCUUAUUGAAAAUUUGGUUUAUCAAUACUUUACCACUUUCUUGUCAACUGAACUUUGAGUUACAUAAGAGAUUUUUUUGGUUAAGGACUGUGGGAUAGUUUUUUUUUUUACUGUGGCAAGUAAGCCCCAUUGGGCUCACUACAGCAGUGCUUCUGGAGCUGGCUGCAAGAAGUUUCAGCUGUCAUUGCUCCUUAUAAUUCUGGUUUUUGGAUUCUGCUUUCAAAACGAGAUAUGAAGCCUUAAGUUGGAAUGUAGCAGACAUUCAUUUGACUGUAUAUUCACCCUGAUGUUGAUUUACAAUACCAUUUGUUUUACAAGACUGGCAGGAAGCAACACUGUGGCAUUUAAAUUCCCUGCUUGCAUGCAGCUCUGCCAAAACAAGUUACAGAUCUAUUGUACCUUUUUUUUUUUCUCCCCUUUCAAAUGCAAGUACCUCUGGAAUCAUUUUCUGUAAUCAGGUAGGAAAAAAAUUCUGCAAGUUUGUCAGAUGGUGCUUGACCUUUUGGGCAUUUUCCUCACUCUGAAGUGUUAUUUAGCAGUCAUUAAGUUCUCUUUCCUUAGGCACUCCUUGCUUUUCUAAUAUUUCAGUAAUCAUUUUUUUCUCAGGCUUUGGCUUCCACUAUUUAUUUAUUAACCUCAAAAAAUAUCUGGCUCUUGUAAUGAUUUUUCUGAUGCAACACUUUUCUUCUGGGGGUGCCUCUGAAAGUAUUCCUGAAGCUAUCAAAGAGUCACCAGCUAAAAGUGAAUUCUUGUGGUUAACAUGGUGUUAUUCUUCUGAAGGGCAUUAUUCUCCACAUCUUAACACUUUUCAGUGUAAGAGCUCUGCCUGUCUUUAUCUUCCUCCCUUUAUAUUUAUUAAUUUAGAAUAGUCAGGAUAAUAUUUAGCAAAAUAAAUCAGUGAAAUAAUUAAUUGGUAGACCCAAGUGUCUGUUACCCUCUGUCUUCUUUUCUACAAAAUGUUUGCUUGAAAGGGAUCAGUAGGGCUAGCUGAUCAUUGGGAUGAGUGUUAAGUCUUUUCAGAUAUGCAACCAUCUCACAAAGUGUUCUCUCUUGCCUGAGCUAAAGCAUUUUUAAUGCUGUUAUGAUGUUAUAUGGUGGGGGGUAUCACUUUGGUCAUCUUGGGUCAGCUGUCCUGGCUGUGUCCUCUCCCAGCUUGUUUGUUGUGGGGCAGAGGAGUAAACAGAGAAAAUGUAAAUGCCCUGUGAGCACUGCUAUCACUGGUCUGCUAUCAAGGCUCCUUUAGCCUGAAAUCCAAAGUACAGAACUUUAUGCGUUGCUGUGAAGAUAAUGAUCUCCAUCCCAGCCAGACCCAGUCCAAUCAGUAAUAACUGAAAAAUCACUUACUAUAGGGGAGAAGGGGAAACUCUGUGCAGAGCCCUACAAUUCCUUUUUUAAUGAUGUGCCAUUUAAUUUUUUUUUUUUUAAAUAAUGAAAAAACGUUCCAUCAACUUUGUGUGGGGCACCACACAAAUAUUUCUUUGUGGAAGAUUUCAGAAAGUCUGUAUUUCUUCAGAAACAAAGCAAUUUUCUUAACAGUAAGGAGGGAUAAAUUGCAAAGCAAGUUCGUUAUUUUUGCAAGAGGAUGCUUGCAAAGUUAAUUAUCUUACUUCAACGUAAGCUAGAAGUAAUGUAUUAUUUUAAAGAAAAAACACACACAAAAUCCCCCAAAACUCUAAACAAAAACACAUGCCAAGAACUACACAAAUAGGGUAGAGGGGAAAUGUUUAGGAUAUGGUGUAAUUUAUUCAGUGUAAAGUUAAAUCACAGCUUUAUGUUGUAAUCCAAUUUAAAUUUUGUGUAGGGUCCACAGGUGCUGAUAUCAGAGUUGAAUGAUAUUACAAAAACAUCCUGAUUGCUAACCUAGGGACAAUUCAUAACUUAAAAUUUUGAGCUUUCAUGAAAAUCCAUCUGAUUCAGCUUUACCGGUCUUUAUAUAUAGUUGAAGAACUGGAGGUCCAAGGCAAUGGAAAAUUAAGAAAAAUCUAAGUCUAAGAUCUGAAAGCCAGUUCAAACCCCCAAUAUAUAAUGUGAUAUUUCAUAAACUAGCACUGCCAUAAAAAAAUACAAAUUAUCUGUUUUCUAAAAUGGGAAAAAUCCAAAGUUGAUGCUGAAUUCAUGUUCAAAUCAGGAAAAGGAAAUACUAAUGUGGAAUAAGCUGAAGAAAUUAUCACAGAACAUUUCUACUCAAACAGCAGAUGCUUUCAAGUACUAUUCAUUCAACCUGUAAAUUUUCAAGGCCUGACCUACAGUUUCCCUUGCUUGAAGGACCUGGAUAUUUUAAAUUUGUAGUAUUUUUCAUUCUUUUUCAAUUCUAUCUGUAACCCUGUGAAAACCUCAGGGGGGGGAAAAAAAAAAAGAGAGAGAGAUUUUUCUGCCUGUUUUUAUUGUCCUAUUCUUUACUGAACCUGAGAAGGAAGUCAAUAUGGCCUUUAAGAGAAGAAAAGUUACAGCUGCUUUUUAUUUACCUGAGAACUGACAAAGCUAUCAUCUAUGAAAGGUUAUUGCAACAUUUUAUAUGCAUGUUUGUUAUCCCAAUAAGAGCACAGCUGUUUGCUUUAUUAGUAAAUUGCAAAUGAAGUGGAAUUUUCAAGUUAGAUACAUUCACAUGUAUAUGUAUAUAUUCACAACCUCAGUUCCUGAUGCUACAAUUUGCAAUAAUUGAGAAAUAUUUUUUGUUUUAUUUUCUUUCAUAUGUGGGCAGGAAGAUCUCAUUUUUCCCAAUUUACAAAGCUGCUUUUAAGAGGGAAGAAGAAUUAAAGUCUGAAUUCAGUAUAGACCACUGGGUCUUUUUGGAAACAUUUGAAUUCCCUCGCAAGACUCAGGAAAAGUUUACAAAAAUGAGAGGAGUUCUUUCUGUUUAGGUAGUUAUGUAAGAAGAGGAAAUAAUGUGGUUCCUGAUGCUAUAUCGAAUAUUACAGCUGUGCAGUAGGACUUGCUUUCAGAGUUACGUGAACGCAGCAAUUCUAGUGUAAGUAUUGAAUCCACCCACAUGAUAAGAGCUGAAUUAACAAAGUAAUCUGCAAAGAAUACAUAAAUAUCUGCUUAGCUUCAUAAAAAAACAGGAUGCGAAUGUUUUAUCUUCUGCACACAGCUCUGAAAUGUAUUCCUUUGUUUUCCCUUGUCCUGUUCUGAAGCCUCAACCAGUUGAUAGGUUGGACAUGCCUACAUUGUUAAAAGUUACUGCCCAAAAGAUUUGCACUGAGUGUUUGCAGCCUGUGGACAUCCAUACACUGAGCAUAAUCCCUGGAGCCAUGGGGUAACAACUCUAGAAACAUAUUUUGAGGGGGGGAAAGUGAAAAGUUCGCAUUGUAUACAUGAUGUCUCAGUAAUUUUAUGGGCAAUAAAAGGUAGCAGUUUACUUACAUUUAAUUUGCAAAGAUUUGUAUCUCAGUUGAAGGAACAUCUGUGAUCAACCACCUAAAUGCCCAGGCUUGCAAUCAAGGGAUGACAUCUGUGUUGCCAGCGGGACUGUCUUGCCUUCAGCCACCGUGGUAAUAUACACUAAGCCUGCCUUUGCUGUGCUGCUUGGUGCAUAUGAGCUAAGACAUGAUGUAUCAAAGGGUUGGAGAAGGAGGAAAGACUGAAGAGUGUCCAUCACAAGAGGUUUUCCAGAUGUGGAAAGGGUGCUAGACAAUCUCAUCUAGGUUCCCUUUUCCAUGAAAGGUUGGACCAGGUGAUCUUUUGAGGUUCCCUCCAGAUGGAGCUGUUCUGCGAUCCUCAGUAAUACGUUGAGUGGAGCAGGGUUAAAGCCAGCCUAUAGCCAUCUUCCUUAUUCCCAGUGACAUUCCUUAUUAUCCGUGACUUUAUUUAAAGGUGGAAAUUAUUACAGAGAAGCCUCUUGUACAUCCUUAAUAGAAAAAGUCUGU